rnacentral:lncRNA from 1 species
GUCCAGUGAGUGCUGCUAUCAUUCAGACUCCCAAAUUAUUGAUCCUAAAGGCAGGACAACAUGUGACAAUCAAAUGUACUCAGGAUAUGAAACAUGACUCCAUGCUUUGGUACCAACAGGAUUCCUGGUUAGAACUAAGAGUAAUCUAUUCCUAUGAUGCUGGAAUCAUUGACAAAGAAGAGGUCUCUAAGGGGUACAAUGUCUCCAGAUCAUGCACAGAGGACUUCACCUUCACUGUGGAAUUGGCCUCUCCCUCCUGGACAUCUGUGUACUUCGGUGCCAGCAGUUAUACCACAGAGCUCUGGGGCUGCCUCCUCUUUGCACAUAAAGAUACAUAUAGAGAAGAGGCACUCUAUCCCUGGGAACUCAGUGGCACAUUGGGGUUCUCACUGGAACCUUGGAGAUGUGAAUAUUCUGGGCAGUAUACACCUCAGGUCUCUUCUGAGGGGCAUCUUUUGCAGGAGAUGGUGGAAUCACCCAGACACCUAGAUACUGGAUCACACAGAC